rnacentral:snoRNA from 13 species
GCGGUGAUGACAGCCAAUUCAAGCACGUGUUAGACUGCUGAAGCGGGUGAUGCGAACUCCACACUGAGC